AGUUGGUAUUUUAAUUUUCAAAAUGUAUAUUUUCUUAUCUUUCCUUUUCCCCACUUGUUUGAUAAAACCAAACGACAUUUGAAGUUACAAAUACCACUGCAAAAAGUCCUAUCAAAGUCAGCAAGAGUUAAGAGUCUGUUUUUCCAGAGCAUCAUUAGCACUGCACUGCUUAAGUCAACCUAGUCAAAACAUGGCCAAUAUGGCGCUUACCGGCUGUCCUUCACAGUUUUGUGGAGGGCUUGGUCUUGGUCAUCACUUUAAUGACAAAGAUCAAGAUCCUUGGUUUUGUGGUGCUAUAAAUGCUCCUUCCACUGCGGUCUAAAGACAACAACAGAGCCAGGUGCUGGCACGCUCAGAUUGCCUGGAAGAUUUGUUGCACCUGGUUCACCACUGAUUGAAGGGGAGGAGGAGCUCCCAGGCAGUUUGUCAGCACACUUACUGAAACCUGCAGACACUCUAAGCUUUUGCACCCUGGUCUUGUAAUCAUUUAUGUCUUCAUUCUUUUAACAGAGCUUCCCGUAGUAGUAACAAAGUCAAAAGAAGUAAUUGAAAAAGUCACAUACCAGACCUCAACUUCUGCAUCCACCUGGUCAACAGCCACCAGCUUCUGCAUGCGUUUCUCCUGAAGUGGUGUCUGAUGAUACGGUGUCUUUUGUGCCAGGCUGUGAUGUCAAAGUCCCUAGAUGAAAUCCUUCGGUCUACGUAGGGGACCUUGCUGUGCUUGUCUACAGCAGGGAAACGCUGUCCCAUUCAAGUUUGACGGGGAGACAAUCUGGGGCACACAAAGACAUGGAAUCCAAGCCGCAACUCCAUAACACAAAACCUGAAGCUAUAGUUGUGAAAGAUGAAGAAAUGAACAAUCUGAGACGUUUGAUCUGCAUGGAGAGGACGUCACUGUUAAACAAAAUAAAAAUGAAACUCACACCUGUGUUGCACAGAGAGAUGUGGAGAUGGACUUUCAGUGUUCUUGAAGUCGGGUCCAGGUGGAUCAUUAUUGUUCAGGUCAUCCACAGAGGCCCUGAUACAGAGGUGUCAAACUCAUUUUCACCACGGGCCACAUAAGCACUACGGUUGGAACUGUAAGACUAUAUAAACAUACUUUACUGCAUAAACUAUUCCGUAACAUA